rnacentral:rRNA from 1 species
UAAGGAAUAUUGGACAAUGGAGGCAACUCUGAUCCAGCCAUCCCGCGUGCAGGAUGACGGCGCUACGCGUUGUAAACUGCUUUUGUGUAAGAUGAAAUACCGGGAUUUAUCCUGGCUUGACGUUAUUACAAGAAUAAGCACCGGCUAACUCCGUGCCAGCAGCCGCGGUAAUACGGAGGGUGCAAGCGUUAUCCGGAAUCACUGGGUUUAAAGGGUGCGUAGGCGGGCCAGUAAGUCAGAGGUGAAAGCCCAUCGCUUAACGAUGGAAUUGCCUUUGAUACUGUUGGUCUUGAAUUAGGUUGAGGUUAGCGGAAUGUGGCAUGUAGCGGUGAAAUGCUUAGAUAUGCCACGGAACACCGAUUGCGAAGGCAGCUAACUGGCCCUUGAUUGACGCUGAGGCACGAAAGCGUGGGGAGCGAACA